rnacentral:rRNA from 1 species
UGCGUAGGUGGCAGGGUAAGUUUGAUGUGAAAUCUCCGGGCUUAACCCGGAAAUGGCAUUGAAUACUAUCCUGCUCGAGGGUUGGAGGGGGGGACUGGAAUUCUCGGUGUAGCAGUGAAAUGCGUAGAUAUCGAGAGGAACACCAGUGGCGAAGGCGAGUCCCUGGACAAUACCUGACACUGAGGCACGAAAGCUAGGGGAGCAAACA